rnacentral:rRNA from 2 species
GAUGAACGCUGGCGGCGUGCCUAAUACAUGCAAGUCGAGCGAACGGACGAGAAGCUUGCUUCUCUGAUGUUAGCGGCGGACGGGUGAGUAACACGUGGAUAACCUACCUAUAAGACUGGGAUAACUUCGGGAAACCGGAGCUAAUACCGGAUAAUAUUUUGAACCGCAUGGUUCAAAAGUGAAAGACGGUCUUGCUGUCACUUAUAGAUGGAUCCGCGCUGCAUUAGCUAGUUGGUAAGGUAACGGCUUACCAAGGCAACGAUGCAUAGCCGACCUGAGAGGGUGAUCGGCCACACUGGAACUGAGACACGGUCCAGACUCCUACGGGAGGCAGCAGUAGGGAAUCUUCCGCAAUGGGCGAAAGCCUGACGGAGCAACGCCGCGUGAGUGAUGAAGGUCUUCGGAUCGUAAAACUCUGUUAUUAGGGAAGAACAUAUGUGUAAGUAACUGUGCACAUCUUGACGGUACCUAAUCAGAAAGCCACGGCUAACUACGUGCCAGCAGCCGCGGUAAUACGUAGGUGGCAAGCGUUAUCCGGAAUUAUUGGGCGUAAAGCGCGCGUAGGCGGUUUUUUAAGUCUGAUGUGAAAGCCCACGGCUCAACCGUGGAGGGUCAUUGGAAACUGGAAAACUUGAGUGCAGAAGAGGAAAGUGGAAUUCCAUGUGUAGCGGUGAAAUGCGCAGAGAUAUGGAGGAACACCAGUGGCGAAGGCGACUUUCUGGUCUGUAACUGACGCUGAUGUGCGAAAGCGUGGGGAUCAAACAGGAUUAGAUACCCUGGUAGUCCACGCCGUAAACGAUGAGUGCUAAGUGUUAGGGGGUUUCCGCCCCUUAGUGCUGCAGCUAACGCAUUAAGCACUCCGCCUGGGGAGUACGACCGCAAGGUUGAAACUCAAAGGAAUUGACGGGGACCCGCACAAGCGGUGGAGCAUGUGGUUUAAUUCGAAGCAACGCGAAGAACCUUACCAAAUCUUGACAUCCUUUGACAACUCUAGAGAUAGAGCCUUCCCCUUCGGGGGACAAAGUGACAGGUGGUGCAUGGUUGUCGUCAGCUCGUGUCGUGAGAUGUUGGGUUAAGUCCCGCAACGAGCGCAACCCUUAAGCUUAGUUGCCAUCAUUAAGUUGGGCACUCUAAGUUGACUGCCGGUGACAAACCGGAGGAAGGUGGGGAUGACGUCAAAUCAUCAUGCCCCUUAUGAUUUGGGCUACACACGUGCUACAAUGGACAAUACAAAGGGCAGCGAAACCGCGAGGUCAAGCAAAUCCCAUAAAGUUGUUCUCAGUUCGGAUUGUAGUCUGCAACUCGACUACAUGAAGCUGGAAUCGCUAGUAAUCGUAGAUCAGCAUGCUACGGUGAAUACGUUCCCGGGUCU